AUAUAUAUUCCUGUAUAUAUUUUUUUCCCGACAUUCAUAAUUUACAUUUAAUAUUACUCCCUAAAUUCAUUCAACUAUAAUGAUUAAAAUCAUAUAACAUUCAAAAUAUGUUAUAAAUCAUAAUAACAUCAUUAACAUUCAUUGUAACAUUCAUAAUCUAAAAUAACAUUGGAACUUGACGAGUCGGAGUUGGUGUUGGAGUUGGAACUUAAGGACUUCGUCUAAAUCUUUUCUUAUUAACCAACUUUUUCUUGUAAG
rnacentral:lncRNA from 1 species